AUCGGAUUCGACUUAAGAUGUUGAUGUGUAGGUGGCAUGCCGAGGAAGCCUGGUUGGCCUCGUAAAAAAUCUGGGCACAAAUUAAACGCAAACUACGAUGUAGUUGCCGAAGCACAAAGCUACCUUUUAGAAGGUGCUUUAGUCUAAGUUACAAGCUAACUUAGCCUUUUUAUCGGGAAUGUCCGCGGCUCGAUAAAAAGCACUUCGCGGGCUGGUCGUUUCGGAUGUUCUCGCCGGAAUGACAAGAUUUAGAGAACUGGGUUUAACGCAUCGUGUACGAUUCGAGUCGUUAAACUAAGAUUAAAAAACGUGCUACGCAUGUAGAAGCUUAUGCAAAGCUCUUUAAGGACCGGGGUUCGAUUCA
rnacentral:tmRNA from 1 species